rnacentral:rRNA from 1 species
UACGGGGGGGGCAAGCGUUUGUUCGGAAUUACUGGGCGUAAAGGGCGCGUAGGCGGCCUUCUAAGUCAGACGUGAAAUCCCUCGGCUCAACCGAGGAACUGCGUCUGAUACUGGAAGGCUUGAAUCCGGGAGAGGGAUGUGGAAUUCCAGGUGUAGCGGUGAAAUGCGUAGAUAUCUGGGAGGAACACCGGUGGCGAAGGCGGCAUCCUGGACCGGUAUUGACGCUGAGGCGGCGAAAGC